rfam:Camelus ferus unplaced genomic scaffold scaffold595, whole genome shotgun sequence.
CCAACGGCUCUUUUAAGAGCCACCAACACAUUUCAGGGAAAGAGCU